GCUGAUAUGGCCGAGUCGUUAAGGCGAGUGAUUUGAAUCGCGUAUUCGUGUCGUCAUCACUUGGGCAUUGCCCGCGUAGGUUCAAAUCCUGCUGUCAGCG